rnacentral:rRNA from 1 species
CGGACGGGUGAGUAAUGUCUGGGAAACUGCCUGAUGGAGGGGGAUAACUACUGGAAACGGUAGCUAAUACCGCAUAACGUCGCAAGACCAAAGAGGGGGACCUUCGGGCCUCUUGCCAUCGGAUGUGCCCGGAUGGGAUUAGCUAGUAGGUGGGGUAACGGCUCACCUAGGCGACGAUCCCUAGCUGGUCUGAGAGGAUGACCAGCCACACUGGAACUGAGACACGGUCCAG